UACGUAGGGUGCAAGCGUUGUCCGGAAUUAUUGGGCGUAAAGAGCUCGUAGGCGGCUUGUCGCGUCGACUGUGAAAACUCGGGGCUCAACUCCGAGCUUGCAGUCGAUACGGGCAGGCUAGAGUUCGGUAGGGGGAGACUGGAAUUCCUGGUGUAGCGGGUGAAAAUGCGCAGAUAUCAGGAGGAACACCGGUGGCGAAGGCGGGUCUCUGGGCCGAUACUGACGCUGAGGAGCGAAAGCGUGGGGAGCGAACAGG
rnacentral:rRNA from 1 species